rnacentral:rRNA from 1 species
GAUGAACGCUGGCGGCGUCGCCUAAUACAUGCAAGUCGAACGAGCGAGAGAGAGCUUGCUUUCUCGAGCGAGUGGCGAACGGGUGAGUAACGCGUGAGGAACCUGCCUCAAAGAGGGGGACAACAGUUGGAAACGACUGCUAAUACCGCAUAAGCCCACGACCUGGCAUCGGGUUGAGGGAAAGGAGCAAUCCGCUUUGAGAUGGCCUCGCGUCCGAUUAGCUAGUUGGUGAGGUAACGGCCCACCAAGGCAACGAUCAGUAGCCGGCCUGAGAGGGUGAACGGCCACAUUGGGACUGAGACACGGCCCAA